CAGCAGCCGCGGUAACACGUAGGUGGCAAGCGUUGUCCGGAAUUAUUGGGCGUAAAGGGCUCGCAGGCGGUUUCUUAAGUCUGAUGUGAAAGCCCCCGGCUCAACCGGGGAGGGUCAUUGGAAACUGGGAAACUUGAGUGCAGAAGAGGAGAGUGGAAUUCCACGUGUAGCGGUGAAAUGCGUAGAGAUGUGGAGGAACACCAGUGGCGAGGGCGACUCUCUGGUCUGUAACUGACGCUGAGGAGCGAAAGCGUGGGGAGCGAACAGGAUUAGAUACCCCCGUAGUCCCUGUCUCUUAUAC
rnacentral:rRNA from 1 species